rnacentral:rRNA from 1 species
AAAUUGAAGAGUUUGAUCAUGGCUCAGAUUGAACGCUGGCGGCAGGCCUAACACAUGCAAGUCGAACGGUAACAGGAAGAAGCUUGCUUCUUUGCUGACGAGUGGCGGACGGGUGAGUAAUGUCUGGGAAACUGCCUGAUGGAGGGGGAUAACUACUGGAAACGGUAGCUAAUACCGCAUAACGUCGCAAGACCAAAGAGGGGGACCUUCGGGCCUCUUGCCAUCGGAUGUGCCCAGAUGGGAUUAGCUAGUAGGUGGGGUAACGGCUCACCUAGGCGACGAUCCCUAGCUGGUCUGAGAGGAUGACCAGCCACACUGGAACUGAGACACGGUCCAGACUCCUACGGGAGGCAGCAGUGGGGAAUAUUGCACAAUGGGCGCAAGCCUGAUGCAGCCAUGCCGCGUGUAUGAAGAAGGCCUUCGGGUUGUAAAGUACUUUCAGCGGGGAGGAAGGGAGUAAAGUUAAUACCUUUGCUCAUUGACGUUACCCGCAGAAGAAGCACUCGGCUAACUCCGUGCCAGCAGCCGCGGUAAUACGGAGGGUGCAAGCGUUAAUCGGAAUUACUGGGCGUAAAGCGCACGCAGGCGGUUUGUUAAGUCAGAUGUGAAAUCCCCGGGCUCAACCUGGGAACUGCAUCUGAUACUGGCAAGCUUGAGUCUCGUAGAGGGGGGUAGAAUUCCAGGUGUAGCGGUGAAAUGCGUAGAGAUCUGGAGGAAUACCGGUGGCGAAGGCGGCCCCCUGGACGAAGACUGACGCUCAGGUGCGAAAGCGUGGGGAGCAAACAGGAUUAGAUACCCUGGUAGUCCACGCCGUAAACGAUGUCGACUUGGAGGUUGUGCCCUUGAGGCGUGGCUUCCGGAGCUAACGCGUUAAGUCGACCGCCUGGGGAGUACGGCCGCAAGGUUAAAACUCAAAUGAAUUGACGGGGGCCCGCACAAGCGGUGGAGCAUGUGGUUUAAUUCGAUGCAACGCGAAGAACCUUACCUGGUCUUGACAUCCACAGAACUUUCCAGAGAUGGAUUGGUGCCUUCGGGAACUGUGAGACAGGUGCUGCAUGGCUGUCGUCAGCUCGUGUUGUGAAAUGUUGGGUUAAGUCCCGCAACGAGCGCAACCCUUAUCCUUUGUUGCCAGCGGUCCGGCCGGGAACUCAAAGGAGACUGCCAGUGAUAAACUGGAGGAAGGUGGGGAUGACGUCAAGUCAUCAUGGCCCUUACGACCAGGGGCUACACACGUGCUACAAUGGCGCAUACAAAGAGAAGCGACCUCGCGAGAGCAAGCGGACCUCAUAAAGUGCGUCGUAGUCCGGAUUGGAGUCUGCAACUCGACUCCAUGAAGUCGGAAUCGCUAGUAAUCGUGGAUCAGAAUGCCACGGUGAAUACGUUCCCGGGCCUUGUACACACCGCCCGUCACACCAUGGGAGUGAGUUGCAAAAGAAGUAGGUAGCUUAACCUUCGGGAGGGCGCUUACCACUUUGUGAUUCAUGACUGGGGUGAAGUCGUAACAAGGUAACCGUAGGGGAACCUGCGGUUGGAUCACCUCCUUA